rnacentral:lncRNA from 1 species
CUUCUAAGCUGUCCAGAGCGGGGAGCCUCAGACCCAGCCGAGCCCCACUUCUGGGCUUAGAGCUUGACCCAACACGUUCGCACCGUAGCGAGCGAGGUCCACAUUUAGCCAUGCCGCAGGCAAAAGAAGGAUUCGGCUUCGGUCCUGGCCCAGUCUGCCAUCCCGGGGCGCCUGCCUUGUACCGGGUCCCGCGGAGGGCGGCCUUGGCGCCUGCCUCCCUGGAGCCUGCAGUCCUGCAGUGGGUGAGUGAAAGCGAGAGAAGAGGAGCUCAGGUCCUCAGCCUCCAAACUCGUCUUCUUGGAGAGCUUCAGUGAAGGAGAUGGCCUUGAAGUCCUGGGCUGGCGUGGAAUCCGAGGGUUCCUGAUGACUGCAGCUCCUCGCCCCUCCCGCUGUGUUCCCGCCGCCUCUGGGCUGAAAGCGCCAUCAGGACCCGUGGCGCGUGGGCUUUGUUAAGUCAUUAACUGCUUGGGACAUAGCAGGAGCAUGGUGCGCGGCACAGAACAGGCUUGGCUUCCACGGCCCAUCCAGGCGGAGCCGUCAGCGUCCCUUGCCUAGACCAGAGCUCUGGAAAGCGGAGAGGCGGACAGGGGCCGUUCCCCAGAUCUGUUCCGGAGGAUGCAGAUCAGAACCAGAGAGGGUGCAUUUAGAAACUCAUUGCAACCUGACAAAGUUGCAGCGUUGUAGCGCGGGGUCAGCAACAGGAAUUCGGGUUGGGUGGAGUCGGACUCAGGGAGUGGUCGCUUGUGCGCAGAACUGCGUAGACUCGAGUAGGUUCGAAAAGGAUAGGCCUGGGGGCAAGACCUAGUCCUUCACCACAGGUAAAUCUAGGCGUCCGCGAGGGUCUCCUGGCUCAUUUUCCUGCAUCCACUGGCCUCCCACCACACUGCGACAUCCAGAGUGGUCGUUACACAAAGCAAACUGAAUUAAGUCAUUCCCCUGCUCCAGAGUCCUUGCAGCCUCCGGCCCUACAGGAUGCGCCCCUGCCUGCCUGCCAGGUCGUCUUAUACCCUCUCCGCAUGGUCUUGCAAAACUGACUCCGCUAUGCACCGCUGAUGCACCAGGCUUCUCCCGGGAAAGACCUUUGCACGAAUUAUGCCUGCCUGGGGUAUCUCUUUCCCCUCUCAACUCAAAAAUCACCUUCUCAGAGGCCUUUCUAACCAUUUCAGUACUCCUCAUUCUGUCACAUCCCUGUGUUUUAUGUUCUUCAUAAUGAACUGAAACUGUUUGUUGUAUGUUUUGUUGGGUCUUUUCAUUUUCCCCUACUUGGAAGUAAGCUACUGUCUUGUUCACCCUUAGAUUCCCAGCGCCUAAGGCGGAGGCCUGACACUUAUAAGCACCCAUUAUAGUUGAGUUCCCAUUUAUUAAUUCAAGCAAAAACUGUGGUUUGGGUCACCAAAGCAUGAAACCCCACUUGGAAUCUUGGGGUUUGGAUAUUAGCACUUAACUAUUCAUCCACUCCUUCAUCUCUAAGUUUUCUUCUCAGAGAAAAUCAUGGA